UUGCUUCAGCAGCACAUAUACUAAAAGUGGAACGAUACAAAGAAGAUUAGCAUGGCCCCUGCGCAAGGAUGGCUUGCAAAUUUAUGAAGUGUCCCAAAGUCUU